CUAUAGAUACAAACAAAAAUAAGUACUCCCUUCGCACCUAUGUGACUCUCCAUCCCUACGUGACUCUCCAUCCUUUCUAAGUUGUGGCUGUCAAGUAGCGCGGCACCAAAGCUAAACGCGUUUGUUUUGCAACUUGAAGCAAACCCAGUCGAAGCGAACGAGAUAUACAACAACAACAAUCAUAUGAGAAGAAGGCAAAGGCAGAUCAGCGACAGACCCACUUGAGUGCUGAACAGCUCCGGAGAUUCUUGGUUGAAGAGCAAGGUGAGCAAGGAGCCACACUGAGUGAGUGUGAGAGUAUAGUUCAACAAGUUCUUGAUAGGAGGCAUCACAUUGCUAGGUUCACAAGACAUUCUUUGAGUCUUGACGACUUUCAUCAUUUUCUGUUUUCAACUGAUCUUAAUCCACCCAUGUUGUCUAAGGUCAAUCACGACAUGACUGCACCACUGUCACAUUAUUUCAUAUACACCGGACAUAAUUCGUACUUGACCGAGAAUCAGCUCAAUAGUGAUUGCAGUAAUGUUCCAAUCAUAGAAGCACUUAAAAGAGGUGUGCGAGUUAUAGAACUUGAUUUAUGGCUAGACUCAAACUCACGCAAGGGCGCUAUACAUGUUAAACAUGGAGGGCAUGCUUAGAAGUGGAUAUAGUUGCAUACGGAGGUUCAGGCCCUCACUCGGCUGUAUUAGAGCACCAAUAUAUCCAUAUUCAUAAAUGAAACCCUGGCCAGCAAUCCCUCAUAUGCCAAAGAUACUUCAGCCUUUGAUGCUUUUAUUUAAGCCUGUGUUUCAAUUUUUAAUGAUGCUUUGGUUUCUUUGUGUUAAAAUACCCGCUCCGGAUGUUUUCAUUGUACAGGAUCCUACUGAAAGAGCAAAUUUGAUCGUGGAGCAAGCUGAGAAAAUGGACUGCAAAAGAUAUUGUUGAUGGCUCAACAAACUUAAAUCUUGCAUUUGUUGCAGAAAUUUUAAAACUAUCCAUUUCUUUAUCAUCGGUAUUGCAAGGGAAAAGGUAAUAAUCCCGGCAUCGAAGCCGUAUAUCUCUUUGAUUGGAAAUCAGAAUGCAGCAAGACAAACAGUGAUGGCUUAGGGUGACAAAGCUUCUGAUAUAUCCAAGGAUGGCACUGUUCUUGGCACCUACAGAUCAGCUUCCAUCACUGUCCUGUUCGAUUACUUCUGAGCUGCUGGGAUAACUUUUGAGAACUCAGUAAACGCUGCUGUAGGUAGUACUGGAAUGCUAGCAGUUGCAUUGGGGAUCGCUGGUGAUACAGCCAUGUUUUACGGAGUUAGAAUUGUGGGUACGCAAUACAAACUCUUAGAUGACACUGGAUCUCAUUAUUUUUACCAGAGUUAUAUUGAGUGAACCGUGGAUUUCGUAUUUGGUAAAGCAAGAUCACUUUACAAGGUAUGCUCCGAAAGUUCUGAAAUCUACAGUUUAUGACGAGGUUUAGCUCAUUGAUAAAAUCCGGUGAAUGUUUGCAACUGUUCACAAGAAAAAAAAAAUUGUUUAUACUUUAUAUCGUGCAGGAGAGACGACGGUAGUCCAUUAUCACUACUCACAAACUUUUUAAAGAUGAAUUGGGUCAAAAUUCUCUAAUAAUAAAAGAAAAUAUGAUCAUCUAUUUAACAGUCCUAGAGGCUUCACCCUCUCAAGGUUUAAGUCUUUAUGUUUUGUAAAUUUAUUUUUACGGAAGAUAAUUAUGCGCAGACUUGGUGUGUCUGGAGGUUCUGUCCAAUCACUUUUUUAAAAAAACUUAAAUUAUUAGUCACCCACAUCGUUGCAUGUGUAACAGAAAUAAGAUCCAUUCAGUUUUAAUUUAGGGAAGUUGAUUCCAUGCUGUUUAUUUUUUCUUAAUGUGGGUGUACCACUCUUCCCUAAAAAGAUGUAGAAAGGGAGUUAUCAAGUCAGGUCUAGGUCUCCAUUAAGAGAUUAUAACUGAGAAAAAAAAAGAAUAGAAUUUAUAAAUUUGUUCUGUAUUGUCUGAUUCGUAAGUGUGUUGUGGAUCAUUCGGCAAUUUAAUACAAGGGGAACAAAAUUAUGGAAGAGAAGUGUCACCUUGAGCUUGGUGAGGUGAUUUAUUUUUUCAUUUAUUUGUGUUGUCAUGGAUAGUUUCAGUUUUAGAUUAUAUCUAGAAUAUGAAUGUCGAUAUAGAAAUGUCCUAUAUUUUUUCAGUUUAAAUCUGUAUAUUGCAAUUUGGCCUGGCUAUGCAAUAAAACUUCACCUAAUCGAAAACGAAAUUGAAAGACAGUUGUUUGUACCUUGAGAAUAUUUUUAAUAGAACUUUUACAUAUCUAUCUAUAUGUUUAUUGUUAAGUAUCUCAUGUUAAGGUUAGUUGCGGUGGACCUUUUUGGAUUAAAGCAUCCUCCUAUUUGGUUUUCAAUUCGAUAUGUUAUACUGACUUUCAGAGUUUUAUUUAGUCACUGCCAAUGUUGUAAUUGUUUUGUAAGUAUUGAAUUCCUAAAUAUGUUUUAGAGUAAGCAUAAAAAACUAUACUAUAUACUUUUCCAUAGGCAUCUGUGGCUGUGUAUCUCUUUCAUCAAAUGAAGGGUUUUCGGUUUAUAAGCUGUGUUGCUAUACAUGCCUGUAGAGAAAUAACAGACUGUUGUUUGACAUUUUAUGUCCCAAAUAGUUGAGAUAUAAUCAUUUUAUCUCUUUCAUCUGUGGCUAGCUUUUAGUGCACCACCUGCUCACAAUUAACAAAGGAAUUUUAGGUGGCGGAAGUAGCAACUCCGGGGAAUGUUAAUGUUAAAAUUUGUUUUUCGUUUCAGGUGCGUAAAUUAGUUGUCUGUGUAUAACUCUUACUAUGUUACUAUAAACCACUAAAUGUUCCUUUUCCUUUUAUUCUUUUGCGAAGUAACCUCCAACUGCUGCUACUGUGUUUAUGUUCCUGCUACUAUGUUUAUAUAUAUAUAUUCUUAAAUGACUUUUUGUUGUGUCCGAGAGAAUCAACUCCGAAGUCUUGACUACUAAAAAUGCCUAUAAUAAUAACAGACUGUUGUGUGACAUUUUAUGUCCCAAAUAGUUGAGAUACCAAAGUAUUCUCAGGAAUCUAAUAUAAUGGAAGGCCUGGUGUUAUUAAUUGGUGGUUAGUUUUAAAUAUUUUGCCUAGAUUAUUUUAUAAGGUCUUAUAUACCUAUAACAGACUAUGCUUGGGACAACCAUGAACGACUUGCUCCUCUGGAUUACAUUGUAGCAUUGUGGCAAAAGUAGUGCAGGGUCACCUAAAAUUUCCCUCCCUCCCUGUCUGUUAGCUGAAGUGCCGUUUUCUAUAAUUUGAAUCAAUUGGUGAUAUAGGUCAAAAUCAUCAAAUAUGUCAUAAUGUUGGCAUUUCAUAUAGAUGUGUUGUCAUUUGUUUGUCAGCAAUAUAGUUGUGCUAUUUUUUAAUAUAACUCCUAGGUAAUGUUUAAAUUUAAUGUUGCCCAUUAUAAAGAGUGUCAUAAUACUACACUUUUUUAAUUUGUUUAUAAAAAAUGUAGGUGCAGAGUCCCUUAUUCAUUCGUCAUCUUCACUCUACAACAUGGCAAUGGUGGAUGAGGCCGUGUCGUAACAAAACCUGGCAAGCCUUAACAGUACAAAGACGGACCGGAAGAUUUUGAUCUGUGUAAUCAGACUGUGAUUGUCUAUAUCUAUUGAAGAUGAAUCUUUUGAUGGAGCCAAUCUAAUAUUUCUUGAUUGAAGGUGUUAACAUUGAACCUGAGAGGAGAAUGCUGGCUAUUUAGGACUAUAGUCCAGCAAAAUUGUUUUUUGGUUCCAGAACAGGAGGUCUUGGUUGAAGACUAAGCAAUUACAGGGAGACUAAUAUUCUCACAAGACAUAUAUAUUUUGAAUUAGAAUUUAUGGAAAUAAAAAAUUGUUAUCCAUAAUAAAUAGUGAGCAUCUAAAAUAUUUGUACAAUAUUAAAAUAAUUUAUUUAUUUGUCAAAAUAUCUUUGCUUUUUCUUUGUA